rnacentral:rRNA from 1 species
UACAGAGGGUGCGAGCGUUAAUCGGAAUUACUGGGCGUAAAGCGCGUGUAGGCGGCCCUGCAAGUCGGGUGUGAAAUCCCACGGCUCAACCGUGGAAGUGCACUCGAAACUGCAGGGCUAGAGUCCUGGAGAGGAAGGUGGAAUGCUUGGUGUAGAGGUGAAAUUCGUAGAUAUCAAGCGGAACACCGGUGGCGAAGGCGGCCUUCUGGACAGUGACUGACGGCUGAGACGCGAAAAGCGUGGG